rnacentral:rRNA from 1 species
UACAGAGGGUGCGAGCGUUAAUCGGAAUUACUGGGCGUAAAGCGUGCGUAGACGGUUAUUUAAGUCGGGUGUGAAAGCCCCGGGCUCAACCUGGGAAUUGCAUUCGAGACUGAAUAGCUAGGGUACGGUAGAGGGAAGUGGAAUUUCCGGUGUAGCGGUGAAAUGCGUAGAUAUCUGGAGGAAUACCGGUGGCGAAGGCGGCAUCCUGGACCGACAUUGACGCUGAUGAGCGAAAGCUAGGGGAGCAAACGGG